rnacentral:lncRNA from 1 species
GUAAAUGCAGAAAGAAUUGGCUUAUGGCGUUGAGGAGAGCCUAAAGCACAGAACCAUUGAGGGUUUUGCUGAAUGCAAUGGAACCACCGUCUCUGGAACGCCAGGGGCCAGUCGCCAUAGAAGCAGUCAACCUGAACCGUUGCAGGGUGUUUAUCUUCAGGAAUCUUGAGGCCCACCCCCAGGAGCCCUGGGCUUCCAGGAGGAUCACUGCCCCUCUGACAAGCAUGCACGUUCCAGGGGACCAGGGGCUGUGCUUCCUGAACGCAACUGGGACAGGAGCUUAUGGAAAUGGAUUGAGAUGA